rnacentral:rRNA from 1 species
GACGAACGCUGGCGGCGUGCCUAAUACAUGCAAGUUGAGCGCUGAAGGUUGGUACUUGUACCAACUGGAUGAGCAGCGAACGGGUGAGUAACGCGUGGGGAAUCUGCCUUUGAGCGGGGGACAACAUUUGGAAACGAAUGCUAAUACCGCAUAAAAACUUUAAACACAAGUUUUAAGUUUGAAAGAUGCAAUUGCAUCACUCAAAGAUGAUCCCGCGUUGUAUUAGCUAGUUGGUGAGGUAAAGGCUCACCAAGGCGAUGAUACAUAGCCGACCUGAGAGGGUGAUCGGCCAAAAUGGAACUGAGACACGGCCCAAACUCCUACGGGAGGCAGCAGGAGGGAAUCUUUGGCAAUGGGCGAAAGUCUGACGGAGCAACGCCGCGUGAGUGAAGAAGGUUUUCGGAUCGUAAAACUCUGUUGUUAGGGAAGAACAUUGGUGGAAGUGAAAGUGCACCACAUGACGGUAACUAACCAGAAAGGGAGGGGUAACUUCGUG